rnacentral:tRNA from 1 species
AGCGGGAAUAGCUCAGUUGGUAGAGCACGACCUUGCCAAGGUCGGGGUCGCGAGUUCGAGUCUCGUUUCCCGUUG